rnacentral:rRNA from 1 species
UUCCAGCUCCAAUAGCGUAUAUUAAAGUUGUUGCAGUUAAAAAAGCUCGUAGUUGGAUUUCGGAAGGUCCUUAGCAAUCCGCCCCUUCGGGGAGCGGGUUGCUGGCCUCCUAUGUUCCUAACGGUCCCCGUCGCGAGGCGGGGAAUCGACCGCUAGGAUCGUUUACUUUGAGGAAAUUAGAGUGUUCAAAGCAGGCGUAACUCGCCUCCGAAUACGUUAGCAUGGGAUAAUGGAAUACGACUUCGGUCUUGUUUCGUUGGUUUCGCUUGGCUGAAGUAAUGAUUGAUAGGGACAGUUGGGGGCAUUAGUAUUUAGUUGUCAGAGGUGAAAUUCUAGGAUUUACUAAAGACUGACCAAUGCGAAAGCAUUUGCCAAGGAUGU